GAUGAACGCUAGCUACAGGCUUAACACAUGCAAGUCGAGGGGAAACGACAUCGCAAGCUUGCUUUUGAUGGGCGUCGACCGGCGCACGGGUGAGUAACGCGUAUCCAACCUGCCCAUCACUUGGGAAUAACCUUGCGAAAGUAAGACUAAUACCCAAUGACAUCCCACGAAGACAUCUGAAUGGGAUUAAAGAUUUAUCGGUGAUGGGUGGGGAUGCGUCUGAUUAGCUUGUUGGCGGGGUAACGGCCCACCAAGGCAACGAUCAGUAGGGGUUCUGAGAGGAAGGUCCCCCACAUUGGAACUGAGACACGGUCCAAACUCCUACGGGAGGCAGCAGUGAGGAAUAUUGGUCAAUGGGCGAGAGCCUGAACCAGCCAAGUAGCGUGCAGGAUGACGGCCCUAUGGGUGGUAAACUGCUUUUAUAAGGGAAUAAAGUGGGUCUCGUGAGACUUUUUGCAUGUACCUUAUGAAUAAGGACCGGCUAAUUCCGUG
rnacentral:rRNA from 1 species